UACGGAGGAUGCGAGCGUUAUCCGGAUUUAUUGGGUUUAAAGGGUGCGUAGGCGGGAUGCCAAGUCAGCGGUAAAAAUGCGGUGCUCAACGCCGUCGAGCCGUUGAAACUGGCGUUCUUGAGUAGGCGAGAAGUAUGCGGAAUGCGUGGUGUAGCGGUGAAAUGCAUAGAUAUCACGCAGAACUCCGAUUGCGAAGGCAGCAUACCGGCGCCCUACUGACGCUGAGGCACGAAAGCGUGGGUAUCGAACAGG
rnacentral:rRNA from 1 species